CCUGCAUGAAGUUGGAAUUGCUAGUAAUCGCGAAUCAGAAUGUCGCGGUGAAUACGUUCCCGGGCCCUUGUACACACCGCCCGUCACACCAUGAGAGUCGAUAACACCCGAAGCCUGUGAGCUAACCGUAAGGAGGCAGCAGUCGAAGGUGGGGUUGAUGAUUGGGGUGAAGUCGUAACAAGGUAGC
rnacentral:rRNA from 1 species